rnacentral:rRNA from 1 species
CUUAGGAUGAACGCUAGCUACAGGCGUUAACACAUGCAAGUCGAGGGGCAGCAUGAUCUGUGCUUGCACAGAUGAUGGCGACCGGCGCACGGUGAGUAACGCGUAUCCAACCUUCCCCCUAGUAGGGCAUAGCCCGGCGAAAGUCGGAUUAAUACCCUAUGUUAUUCGUAGAGGACAUCUGAAAUGAAUCAAAGAUUUAUCGCUAGGGGAUGGGGAUGCGUCCGAUUAGCUUGCCGGCGGGGUAACGGCCCACCGGGGCAACGAUCGGUAGGGGUUCUGAGAGGAAGGUCCCCCACACUGGUACUGAGACACGGACCAGACUCCUACGGGAGGCAGCAGUGAGGAAUAUUGGUCAAUGGGCGUGAGCCUGAACCAGCCAAGUAGCGUGCAGGAUGACGGCCCUAUGGGUUGUAAACUGCUUUUAUGGCGGGGAUAAAGUGCGGCACGUGUGCCGUUUUGUAGGUACCGCAUGAAUAAGGACCGGCUAAUUCCGUGCCAGCCGCGGC